AUAAAGUGCAGACGAAAUGCAGACACUGAUAAAACCAUCAUAAUGUUGGUAAAAAUAAGAUAUAUCAAGGUAGAUACUAUGGAGUGCAGUUUCUCUCCAAAGUUUGUGGAUUGUGAUGAACUCAUUUAACCUCUUGCCAAACACUGAAACAGUGAAACACAGGCAGUACAUACCAAAUAUUUGCUAUUUUGUCUGAGAAUGGUCUAAAACCACCAGUAGCUCUAGAUCUUCACAUCAAUAUUGUAUAUUUUACCAGCCCUUUCAAUUAAAUGAAGAAAAAAAAAAACAAUUCAAAUGUGCACGUCGCAUGUUAUGCCAACAAAAAGUUUUCAUCCAGAUAUUGACCACAUCAAGGAUUCUGGACUCAAGUCGUUACCUUACAGAACUAGCCUUAAACUAGCAAGUAGUGGACCAAAGGAAAAGGAUUUUAUUCAUCUUAUUAACUAGACAGAAUGUGAGUAUUGGAAAAUAAAAAGAACUGAGACAUGACCUCCCCUUUUCCCCCUUUUAUAGUUUUGAUUAGUUUAUGUAAUAUUUAAAUUUUCAUUAUUAUCAUUCAUCAUUGAUUAUUUGUUAAACAUUCUCAAUUACUAAGACAAUGCAAACAUGUCUUUUAAUGAAAAAAAGGAACACUUUCUAUGUAUUAAAUUAGUUUCAAAACAGAUAUUUAAUUUACCUCCUUUCAUGAGUGUAAGAAUUGGGGUCCUCUAAUUUGUUAUGUAUCAUUUACUUUUUACACAUUUUCUAUAUUUUUAAAACAAAUACUUAUUCUGUACAAUUCUAAGGAAAAUGAUUUUAUAAUUAAAAUUUAGAUUUCUGUAAUAAUUUGAUUUCUUUUUAAUGUUUGUCCUUCAUUCUGUGAUUAAUAAUCUAUAUUGUAUUACCUUAUUAUUUUGUUUUCCACAGUUACUCUUCUUACUUUUGCAUCCCAUUAUUCUCUAUUUUAAUUAUGUGUGCUUAUUUAUCUCCAAUCAUAAUGUUCAUAAUUAUUUUUUAAUUCAAUAAUUGGGCAUUAUAUUAAUUAUUCUUUGUUUGGUAAACCCUAGCCCCUAUAUUUUAUGUCACCUGUGAAACAAUCAUUGAUACUAUUUUUUAAAUUGACAUUCCCUACUCAGGAGCCUGAAUUUAAGGAUGAGUGCAUGGUUUAAUCUAUUAUUUUUACAAUUUAUGAAUUAUUUGAUAUUUAUUUCAAAACAGUACUUUAGCUGUAAAAUUGUCAAAACUUUAAAACUCCUAUUUACAUAACACCAUGGUUGUGAAUAUAAAUAUUUGAUUUGCAUUCAAUAUCCCCCUUCCCACCCCCUGACCCAAGAUUAGAUGUGUAUUCAAUAUCCCUCCUCCCCCACCCUGAGAUUUGAUAGGGUUUUUAAAACAUCCUAAAUAAGGAGUAUCUUUUAACAAUGUUUUGAAGCUGUAAAUAACCAGCUUCCCCAAAAAAGUUUAAUUGAAAAAAAAUAUUCUAGAAAAAAUUGUAUAAUGAUAGAAAAUAGAUGAGUACUCUGUUGAACAUCUGUGUAUGGUUUAAGUACCUUUCACUUAAACAAAUGUAUAAUUGGUAUGCAAUAUUAAUAAAUCUUGAACAGCAAUACAUGUAUAGAUUAACACAGAACUUGUUUCAAUGUUUUACUGUAGUUUUAUAAAUAAUUGCUAUCAUUUUUUCCAGCAUGUUGUACUUUGUUUCUGAAGAAAAUAAGAAUAGAUGUCAAUGAUGCAGUACUUGAAGGGGAAAUGAGGUAAUAAUAAUAUAUUGUUUAAAAGUAAUCCUUGUAUCUUCACAAAAGGUUCAGCAUGUGUUUAGUAAUAAUAUUAUGAUAUCUAUGUCAUACAAAGUCUUCACAUACCAGGAUAGAGACUCAUUGCUACAUUACCUGAGUCGCGCAGGAAGGCUAGAAAAAAAAUUAUAUUGGAGAGUCUUAUCCUUUUCACAAAUUGCACCUAAUUUUUUUUAACAAAUGAUACUAUAACUGUAUAAAUGUUUUUUUGUCUAUGAAAAAAUAAGCAUUUUACACAAAAAUUACAAAACUUAUUUGCUGUUUAUAUUGCUGAUUUUAUUUUUAUUCUCCAUUUAAAUAAGCUGAAUCAAUUUAAUUGUUGUGUAAAUAAUUAUUAUUCUUACAUAAUCAAAAAUAUAAAAUUUACUCACUACUAUAGAAAAUAUUUUUGUUAAACUGCUAAUGCCUUAUAUAUUUAGUAAGAUACAGUGAUUGAAUAUGAAGGGAAUUAAUUGCUGUUUAAAUUUAUAUUUGCUAUUUAAUUUUUAUUACAAGCAAAUAUUUCAGCUUAUUAUAGAUCAUCUGUUAGUAUUAAGAUCCUGUUAGUAUUAAUAAAAAUUUUUUAUUUAAAGGUUAAAUCAACAAGAAGAAAAGGGAAUCUGCCAACAUAUCAAGAAAAGAUGGAAACAACAGAAGAU
rnacentral:lncRNA from 1 species